rfam:Xylanimonas cellulosilytica DSM 15894, complete genome.
GGGGCUGAUCGGUUUCGACGGUGGUCGUGCUUCGAGGAGAAGCGGGCCGAGGAUGCAGGCUCAUCUCGUCAACGAUGCCUGCACACACAUAGUUGCCGAUAACACGCGCAACGACUUCGCCCUCGCCGCCUGAGCGAGCCCCGAAGUCCGUGAGCCCGGGAUCGCUCUCGACCCGGUAGUUCGCGUCAUCUAGAGAGCUCAGCCGCUGACCUGGGUCGCUUAGGUCAGUGGGACACCCAAGGCGACUGAGCCCGUCCGCGAAUGAGUCUGCGCAAGCGCGGGGGCCGAGAAAAUCCAUAGCAGACUGCGCCCGGAGAAGUCCUGGAAAAGCGUCACCGGACCAGGGUUCGAUUCCCUGCAGCUCCACCA